rnacentral:rRNA from 1 species
UCGAACGAAGUAGCAAUACUUAGUGGCAGACGGGUGAGUAACAUGUAGGUAUCUUCCCAUUGGUGAGGAAUAACACGAGGAAACUUGUGCUAAUACCUCAUAAGUCUUUACGGAGAAAGCUUUAUGCGCCGAUGGAUGAGCCUGCACUUGAUUAGUUUGUUGGUAGGGUAAUGGCCUACCAAGACAAUGAUCAAUAGCUGAUUUGAGAGGAUGAUCAGCCACAUUGGGACUGAGACACGGCCCAAACUCCUACGGGAGGCAGCAGUAGGGAAUCUUGCACAAUGGGGGAAACCCUGAUGCAGCGAUGCCGCGUGAGUGAAGAAGGCCCUUGGGUUGUAAAGCUCUUUCGUCGGGGAAGAAAACGACUGUACCCGAAUAAGAAGGUCCGGCUAACUUCGUGCCAGCAGCCGCGGUAAUACGAAGGGACCUAGCGUAGUUCGGAAUUACUGGGCUUAAAGAGUUCGUAGGUGGUUAAAAAAGUUGGUGGUGAAAUCCCAGAGCUUAACUCUGGAACUGCCAUCAAAACUUUUUAGCUAGAGUAUGAUAGAGGAAAGCAGAAUUUCUAGUGUAGAGGUGAAAUUCGUAGAUAUUAGAAAGAAUACCAAUUGCGAAGGCAGCUUUCUGGAUCAUUACUGACACUGAGGAACGAAAGCAUGGGUAGCGAAGAGGAUUAGAUACCCUCGUAGUCCAUGCCGUAAACGAUGUGUGUUAGACGUUGGAAAUUUAUUUUCUGUGUCGCAGCGAAAGCAAUAAACACACCGCCUGGGGAGUACGACCGCAAGGUUAAAACUCAAAUGAAUUGACGGGGACCCGCACAAGUAGUGGAGCAUGUGGUUUAAUUCGAAGAUACGCGCAGAACCUUACCAACACUUGACAUGUUCGUCGCGACUUUAAGAGAUUAAAGUUUUCGGUUCGGCCGGACGAAACACAGGUGCUGCAUGGCUGUCGUCAGCUCGUGUCGUGAGAUGUUGGGUUAAGUCCCGCAACGAGCGCAA